GAUGAACGUUGGCGGCGUGCCUAAUACAUGCAAGUCGAGCGAAUGGAUUAAGAGCUUGCUCUUAUGAAGUUAGCGGCGGACGGGUGUGUAACACGUGGGUAACCUGCCCAUAAGACUGGGACAACUCCGGGAAACCGGGGCGAAUACCGGAUAACAUUUUUAACCGCAUGGUUCGACAUUGAAAGGCGGCUUCGUCUGUUACUUAUGGAUGGACCCGAGUCGCAUUAGCUAGUUGGUGAGGUAACGGCUCACCAAGGCAACGAUGCGUAGCCGACCUGAGAGGGUGAUCGGCCACACUGGGACUGAGACACGGCCCAGACUCCUACGGGAGGCAGCAGUAGGGAAUCUUCCGCAAUGGACGAAAGUCUGACGGAGCAACGCCGCGUGAGUGAUGAAGGCUUUCGGGUCGUAAAACUCUGUUGUUAGGGAAGAACAAGUGCUAGUUGAAUAAGCUGGCACCUUGACGGUACCUAACCAGAAAGCCACGGCUAACUACGUGCCAGCCGCCGCCGUAA
rnacentral:rRNA from 1 species